CCUAUUCCCUCUCAGGUCCGUCCCUUUCUCUCUCUCUCGAUCUCCCCCGCCCCUUCUCUCUCUCUCUCUCUCUCUCUCUUGCACUCCUUUUCUCUCUCUCGAUCUCCCCUCUCACGAACUCCUCUUCUCUUCCUAACCAUCCCCUCCCACUCGAUCUCACGAACACCUCUUCAUCAAUGGAUGAUUUCGAGUUGUUGCACUCCCGGUCGUGAAGGAUGUAAAACCUCUCUUUGCUGAAAGAUUUGGAACCCCUCUGUCACUCCCACUCACAAAAAAUCAAACACCCCUUUCCGCUGAUAGAUCUGAAAGCAAAGCUCUCUCUGUUACUUGUCGUAAAAGUCAUAGGCAGAGCACCAAACAAGCUCUUUAAGGAAAGAGGGGGAUUUCCCUUGGAAAAUGCAUGGUGUACCCUAUUGUGAAGCUUAAUAUGGUGUUGUGGGCUGCAGCAUGGUUCGAUCCUGAGCCAAUUGAUCGUUUCUUCACUAACAUCAAUCUAGUGUCUAGGGAUAAGAACAUGUGGAGGAAGGGAUGCCAACUGCUUGAUGAAAUUCCCAAAGCCCAUGUUGCACAGGCAUGCACCUCUUAUGUACUUAUCACAACUUCUUUCCAGUAAUAUUUCAAAUAUAUAUUACAAUAGUUAUCAUAGGUUUUGAUUUUGUUGUUGCAUUGAUUUGAAUUGCAAGUGGGUUUUGUUGGGCAGGUGCAUGCUUUAUAUGCACAAAACUAGCAAGCUUAAAACAUGCAUAUAUGGUUAUACAGCCACCACCUUCAGGAAUGGUGUUGGGGCUAGUAUAUGCUAAGACGCAGAGCCCUCUCACCCCAAUAACCAUGCAUGAAUGUUGGAACUUGGGUGUUGUCCUCAAGCUUACGUUUCUUCAAGCGGUUCAUCAAAAUGGCAUCUAAGGAAAUGAAAAAUAGCCUGCAUUCAAAAUACAUGCAUGGCCCAUCUGAUUAGAAGUUGAGACUAUGUCCUUCUUUCUCGGCCUAGGCAGCUACAAAGUUUCUCGUCUAUUUGCUGAGUGGUGUCGGAUUUGUGAACUUCCUGGCAAUACUGAUGUCACUUAUACCCAUUAUAUCUCACAGUUACAGCAAAGUGGGUUGCUUAAAGAGGAUGAUCUCAUGGAUCACUUUUUCUGAAUCCUCA